AAAUAGAACUUUGCAGAGAGAGUUAACAGGGCGUGAAACCGUUAAUUGGCAAACGAAUCGGAGCCACGAAGUCGUUUCGCUGAUUAGUUGGGCCAAGUUCAGUCCAAGAUCGCAAGAUUUUGGGUGUAUUCUUGUAGUCCAACCUAACAUUGUAAACGUACACUGCAACCAGUUAGACGAUUGGCGAUGGGCCCAGCUGGUUGGGGAGCAAUCCCCGGCUAGCGCAGCUAUUGUCCGUUUGAGCCAGCAGCAGCUUGGUGCGCCUCGGCGUAUGCGAGUUGUUGGGCGCAGGCGGGAGAACUAUCGCCAAACACUGACUGGCAAAAUAAAAAUCACUCGCAGAGUGUUUGAAUAGAACGCGGCCGUCCACAUGGGUGUCCACAUGCUUGACCGUUUGGCUUAAGCUCAGCAUUUUUAAAUUCAAACUUGCUUGCUACCAGUGGGGCAACUCCUGGUGCUUGUAUUGCUUUGUCUAAUUGGGUGUUGACUUGGUUAGGCGUCGUUCGAGCAUGCAACGAUCGGGCGCCUAUGUGAGGUGGUUCGCAAUCAUUGGCAGUGAGUAGGUCGGCUUUCCGAACGA
rnacentral:rRNA from 1 species